ensembl:lncRNA
GUCAUCCCUAUGGAAAAAAUGAAUGGGGAAAGAAUAGGGUUUUGGAAUAAACGCCGAAAAUAAGUGUGUUAGCAUCCAAGGGAGAAAACGUGUUACUUCCGCUUGUCAUCCUCCCUCGUCCGCUGUCAGGCGUGAGGAGACAGUGAUGCAAUGCGUCCCGCUCCCUGUCCCAGAAGCCCUGUCACCUGAAGGAAGUGGCAUUAACCACCCUGGACAGCCAGCCACCACUGCACCAGGGCUGCUGUUGUGGAAUCGUGAUGAAACCAUAUGGAGACUGGGCGGCGUAAAUGACUUCUUAGGAGUGCAGCGAGAUGUGAAGGACGGACUGACAGGAGACGGGAGCGCGGCGAGCACACUAAUGAGCUACAUGCUUCACACCGAGACACGGGGGGGAGAGAGAACGAGAG